AGCAGCCGCGGUAAUUCCAGCUCCAAUAGCGUAUAUUAAAGUUGUUGCAGUUAAAAAGCUCGUAGUUGAAUUUCGGGGUCAGUAGGUUGGUCGUGCCACUGGUAUGCACUGGUCUCACUGAUUCCUCCUUCUUGUAGAACCGUAAUGCCAUUAAUUUGGUGUUGCGGGGAAACAGGACUGUUACUUUGAAAAAAUUAGAGUGUUUAAAGCAGGCUAACGCUUGAAUACAUUAGCAUGGAAUAAUGAAAUAGGACGUUCGAUCCUAUUUUGUUGGUUUCUAGGAUUGACGUAAUGAUUAAUAGGGAUAGUUGGGGGCAUUAGUAUUCAAUUGUCAGAGGUGAAAUUCUUGGAUUUAUUGAAGACUAACUACUGCGAAAGCAUUUGCCAAGGAUGUUUUCAUUAAUCAAGAACGAAAGUUAGGGGAUCGAAGACGAUCAGAUACCGUCGUAGUCUUAACCAUAAACUAUGCCGACUAGGGAUCGGAUGAUGUUAAUUUUUUAAUGACUCA
rnacentral:rRNA from 1 species